rnacentral:rRNA from 1 species
AUACGGAGGGUGCAAGCGUUAUCCGGAAUCAUUGGGGUUAAAGGGUCCGUAGGCGGGCUAUUAAGUCAGAGGUGAAAUCCCACAGCUCAACUGUGGAACUGCCUUUGAUACUGAUAGUCUUGAGUUACAGUGAAGUAGAUAGAAUAUGUAGUGUAGCGGUGAAAUGCAUAGAUAUUACAUAGAAUACUGAUUGCGAAGGCAGUCUACUAACUGUAUACUGACGCUGAUGGACGAAAGCGUGGGGAGCAAACAGGAUUAGAAACCCUAGUAGUCC